UGCAUAACUGACUUCAACUAAACAAGAGGGAAAAUAUUUGUUCGAGUUCUGUGGCUUAACAAAAUAGCUUGUGUAAAAGUUAACCCUGCAACAAUAGAACAGGACUAUAUUUUUCCUUGGCCCCCGUAUUUAGGCAAGGCAUUGCAUAACCCCCUGAACGUCAGCAGUAGAAGAAAAGGCUUGCUUACAUAGAUAAAGUAAUAAAACAUCAAUAAAUUGGACUAUCCCUUCAUUAUCUAAGAGAAUAAUGCUGGGGUUAAGUAUUUUACAUGUAGCAACAGUGGAUAUCAGUUUCCAUUGCCUUCCCUCCACCAGCCAUUGCAGAGCGCAUAACCACCUGGGGGACUGCACUGGCAGCAAAUCUCAUCCCACAGAGUUGACCAGAUGCCAACUACAUUGCAUCAGCAUCAAUUUGUUUCGACCCAAAACUGGACAAGGGCAAGGCACACAGCUCACUCCCACCCACUCUCGUUCACAAAGACUUACAAUGCACACUGCAUUGUUUCAACAGAAAAGCAAGAGGGUCUUCGAUCUCAGCAUGUCAGGGGGCCAUAGAAGCACCAUUUGUGACAGUAUUAAUGGACUUGUCAAGACCAAAGGCCACGAUACCAAGAAUCAACAGGAGCUGAAUCUGUCCGAAUCUGUCUCUUUCACGAAUUGGUGACUGUUUUCGUGGUACAGGAGCAGCACUCUCUGCCACUUGACAGUAUUGCCUAAAAUGAAAAGUACAAAGACUCCAAGAAUUAAAGAUCACUGUUGAACGAUGGAGAAAAUAUAUUGACUCCUACAGCACCAGUGAUAGUGUUAAAGUCGUGCUUUACAAAGUGGGCUUACAAAGACAUGCUACUUUCCUUAACAUUUAAAAAAAUCAUCUUGAGAAAUUAAAGUCAUGGAGCAACUCACAGGAUAACUCACAGCAACUCACAGAUGAAAACUCUUUUUCUUUCGGCUUAGCUUUUGACUGCUCACACCAGCUUUCAUUACCCUAGAAGUCGGGAAUCUCAGCAAUGCACAGAACAAUUAUUCUAUAACAGGGCAGUGAUGAGGACCGGGGUGCUGAAGGUGGGCGGUGUAGCAUAAUGGAGCCACUGUGGUACUAUAUGCACUUAUUGUGGAGCCUGAGCUUGCCAAAGUGUAAAUGCCUGCCUUUCUUCCAAGCACAGAAGCUAGAUUAUACAAUCACAAAACUCAAUAAGAAGGUCAGUCUAACGGGGUGAUUGGUAGCGACGGAAGCUGGCACAGCCACGGCACUGAACACUGAGGUUACUCUGUGGCAUGUACUGCAGGUGUGCCGUCAUCAACUCAAUACCAAUCACUAAUGAGCCCAGCAAAGAGAAUGGAUCAUUUCCUGCCCAUUCUCAGAGAGUAGAGCGUGCAGUUUUUUAUUUUCGUUCAUGUUGUUUUAUCUUCCCCCCCCCUCCCAAAUGCACUUGCAGCUUGUUGGAAUUGAGUGAAAGAUCAUGCCUGACACUUUUGUUCAGUGCUAAAGGAAUUGCUGUACCGUUAGAGGGGCUGUCUUACAGUACAGACAUCAAACAGAAUACCCCAACUGCCCUCUCAGGUGCAGGUUAAAAAUCCUACCUGUGGUAUUUUGAAGUUGCGAAGUGGGUUCUCUCUGGCCACCAUUUAUCCCUCAACCACCAAUGCUGAAAAAUGACCUAUUGAUCUGAGCAUUAUCUCAUUGCAUUUAAUGGGAACUCCAAUCUGUAAUUUGGCUGCUGGGUUUCUACAUGUCCAAAGUACUUCAUAGACUGUAAAGUGCUUUGGCAAGGCCUGAGCUCAUUAAAGCAGCCUCACAACUGUCUGUUCUUUCCAAUUACUUUCUUUUCAGAUUUGCCUUUUUAAUUUCUGUUUCCCUAUCCCAGGAUAUAUUCGUGGCAACCAGGAGUCCACAACAUAGUCCGAGGCUGUCACCAACUUUUCCAUUGCCACUGUUUGUUUAAUUUCCAGCUUAUCAUCGUUUCCUUGUCAAUAGAUGGUGGACCUUUCUCGUUUGAAAACAUUUCCAAUACUUUUUAUUUCCAUUUUCCUGUCACUUUUUGACUGACAGAUGGGUGUGGUCUCUGAACUGCCUCCUGAAGAAAUGACAUGAGCAUCCUUUGUCCCUCAUCCACCAGCAACAAAGUAACCAACAAAAAAUAGUUUAGUUAGUACUUCCUGCAUAUCUUUAAGAUAAUGAACUAGAGAUAAUGCUACUGCACUUCUGAAAAUCUGUAUGAAGUUUUACUGUGAAUUGGCUUCAAGAAGAACCAAUGGAUCAGAUCAAAACUCAACAAUUCAGUUGUGUAUAAUGGUGAACAAAUAAUGGGAGCAACGCAUUCCCUAAAAACAUCUCUGUCCAUGAUAAUAGAGAAGUUGAGUGAGUAGAAAGGAUGUGGCUGAAUUAGUUGCAAUUAUCUCAAAUAUGGAUAUGGUGGAAGCUAAAUUACUAGAUUAGUAAUUCAUAAACCUAACAAUCUAAAGAUUUGAGUUCAAAUCCCACCAUGGGAGCUGUGGAAUUUGAAUUCAUUUAUUAACCUGGAAUUUAAAAAAAACUGGCAAUAUCUAGUUUACAGAUAAUCAAGACCAAAACAACCGGAUUGUAUUAAAACUCAUCUGGUUUAAUGGUGUCAUUCAUGAAGAAAAUCUGCCAUCUUUAUCCAAACUGGUCUAUAUGUCAGUCCAGACACACCCCAUGUGGUUGACCUAAGCACCUUCUAUCUUCUCAAGUGGUGAUUAGGGAUUGGGAAUAAAUGCUGGCCAAACUGAAUCCAGAAGAAGUGACUGUGCAAUUUUCUGCCUCAGAGGCCAGUUCUCUGGUCACUUUCAAGGGAGAGCUAGAUAGGGCUCUUAAAGAUAGCAGAGUCAGGGGAUAUGGGGAGAAGGCAG